rnacentral:rRNA from 1 species
GUGCAGCAGUCGCGAAUAGUCUACAAUGGACGAAAGUCUGAUAGUGCGACGCCGUGUGUGCGAUUAAUUCCUUCGGGAUGUAAAGCACUUUUCUAUGAGAUAAAAGCUCUUUAGGUUAAUAGCUUAUUGAGACGGAUAUUAUUAUAGGAAUAAGCUCCGGCUAACUCCGUGCCAGCAGCCGCGGUAAUACGGAAGGAGCGAGCGUUGUCCGGAUUUACUAGGCGUAAAGGGCUAGUAGGCGACUAAUUAAGUUAUAUGUUAAAUCCCACGGCUCAACUGUGGUCCUGCAUGUAAUACUGGUUAGAUAGAGUACUGUAGAGGAAGGCAGAAUUCCUGGAGUAGCGGUGGAAUGCGCAGAUAUCAGGAAGAAUACCAAAAGCGAAGGCAGCCUUCUGGGCAGUUACUGACGCUGAAUAGCGAAGGUGUAGGGUAGCGAACA